UGGGGAAUAUUGCACAAUGGGCGCAAGCCUGAUGCAGCCAUGCCGCGUGUAUGAAGAAGGCCUUCGGGUUGUAAAGUACUUUCAGCGGGGAGGAAGGUGUUGUGGUUAAUAGCCACAGCAAUUGACGUUACCCGCAGAAGAAGCACCGGCUAACUCCGUGCCAGCAGCCGCGGUAAUACGGAGGGUGCAAGCGUUACUCGGAAUUACUGGGCGUAAAGCGCACGCAGGCGGUCUGUCAAGUCGGAUGUGAAAUCCCCGGGCUCAACCUGGGAACUGCAUCCGAAACUGGCAGGCUUGAGUCUUGUAGAGGGGGGUAGAAUUCCAGGUGUAGCGGUGAAAUGCUUAGAGAUCUGGAGGAAUACCGGUGGCGAAGGCGGCCCCCUGGACAAAGACUGACGCUCAGGUGCGAAAGCGUGGGGAGCAAACA
rnacentral:rRNA from 1 species